rnacentral:lncRNA from 1 species
UAAAGUGCAUUUGGAUCAGUUCGCAUCUUUUUUUCCCCCCCCCUAUUUGCUGUCUAUGCAGUGAAAUCGGACACCUUUUUUCAAUUGAAUCUCCACCCCUCUCCUCUCUAACGAAACGCCGUCAAAUUCCUUAAGUCUUCAGUACGUCUUUGUUCAUGGCGAAGUGUUAAAUUUGCAUAGCCUAGAUUACAUAGGCUACCCGCUGUUUAUCGAGUUUAAUCAUCUUGACCAAAUAUUUUUCAAAUGACUUUUAGAAAUCAUGCCACGUAGGCUAGGUCUACUCAGCUUUUGGGACUAACUUGAAGAACUGAAACGUCGAGGGUUGAGAAUACGAUAAGGAGUUGUGUAGGCUAUGUAGCGGAGACCAGGAAAACUAAAAAGUUUGAAACCCGCUGUAACGGAAAUAGCCUAAUGAAACAAUCUAAUCUCUUAUAUAUACCCGGGAAGCAGGGUGGAAAAUCCGAGUCAUAAGGGGAUCACUGGCGACUAACGAAACCCCUUCACCUUGUAAACCUCCAUACCUCUACACAGCUGUGGAAGACAGAUGGAGGGAGAGAAGGAGCGAGAGAGGGAGAGAGGGGAAGAAAAAGAGAGUGAUGACAUGGAGGACGGCACAGAGGGGGCAGCACUACUGUGGGAGAAGAGCUACCCUGAGGAUGAGCUUGGCUUACCCAUCAUGCAUUGGGAGGCUCUGGGCCUGCGGAUCGAAGAACUCGAGAAACAAGAGGAGGAGAGGAGAGAAAAGGAGGGUGUUGGAAGACUUCCAGACUGGAUAAAGCGUCAGGAUCUGGGAAUCCACAGAGACACCUGGGAAGACGGAGACGCCCUCAAUAGCCGCGUGACUGCGCUCACGUCACGUUUUCAGAGUCAUAUGAAUCUGCAGCUGUGCUUCAUCAAUGAUAGUGAAAGCGAGGAGGACGAUGUCAAGGAAGAAGUAAGAGAAUCAGCUUUCACAUAUUUCUUCUGAGCUAAUAUGCUAAUAAUAUUUGUUACAAAGCAUUUGUGGUAUGUUGCCCGUACAUAUACAUACAUAUACACUCUUUGUAGACAAGGGAAGAGGUUGGAUACUGGUGGUAUUACUUGCGUUGUUUAUCCAAAAAUUUGAGUCCAUUUAAUGAGUUAUUUAAUGGCCACCUAUCCGGAUGUCCUUCCGUGAGAGUUUGAUGUAAGUAGAUCAUUACUAUAACUAGCUAAACUGUCUUGCAUUGCUGCUUAAUAUCCACUCUGCUGCCAGUGUAGUUGGAAUACUUGUAUCUGGAGAGCCCCCACACACAAAACCAUAGACAGCAGAAUAAUCCUUGUCUUAAACUGCUGCUAAUAUCAGUGCACCACAUGUCCAAAUCCCAAAGGAAUAAAAGGACUCACUCUAGCCA